rnacentral:rRNA from 1 species
GAUAAACGCUGGCGGCGUGCCUAACACAUGCAAGUCGAACGCCCUUUUGCGCAAGUGAGAGGGAGUGGCGGACGGGUGAGUACCACGUGGGUACCUACCUUGAGGUGAGGAAUACCACCGAGGAAUCGGUGACAAGACCGCAUACGCUUGGCAACAAGCAAAGUCUCGCAAGAGACGCCACAAGAUGGGCCUGCGCCUGAUUAGCUAGUUGGUGAGGUAAUGGCNCACCAAGGCGACGAUCAGUAGCUGGUCUGAGAGGAUGAUCAGCCACACUGGGAUUGAGAACGGCCCAGACUCCGUACGGGGGNGAC